ACAAGAACGACUCUCGGCAACGGAUAUCUCGGCUCUCGCAUCGAUGAAGAACGUAGCGAAAUGCGAUACUUGGUGUGAAUUGCAGAAUCCCGUGAACCAUCGAGUCUUUGAACGCAAGUUGCGCCCGAAGCCAUUAGGUUGAGGGCACGUCUGCCUGGGUGUCACAC
rnacentral:rRNA from 1 species